rnacentral:rRNA from 1 species
AAUUUUGGACAAUGGGGGAAACCCUGAUCCAGCCAUCCCGCGUGUAUGAAGUAGGCCUUCGGGUUGUAAAGUACUUUUGGCAGAGAAGAAAAGGCAUCGCCUAAUACGGGAUGCUGUUGUCGGUAUCUGCAGAAUAAGCACCUACUAACUCCGUGCCAGCAGCCGCGGUAAUACGUAGGGUUCAAGCGUUAAGCGGAAUUACUGGGCGUAAAGCGUGUGUAUGCGGUUCGUACAGAAAGAUGAGAAAGCCCAGGGCUCAACCUUGGAAGUGCAUUUUUAACUGCCGAGCUAGAGUAUGUCAGAGAGGGGUAGAAUUCCACGUGUAGCAGUGAAAUGCGUAGAUAUGUAGAGGAAUACCGAUGGCGAAGGCAGCCCCCUGGGAUAAUACUGACGCUCAGACACGAAAGCGUGGGGAGCAAACAGG